rnacentral:misc_RNA from 1 species
UCUCCGUUGGUGAACCAGCGGAGGGAUCAUUACAGGGCCCGCAAAACUCCUACACCCCUGUGAACUUAACUAUAGUCACUUUGCUGGGACGGGCGCCUCCGAGCGAGUUGUCCCCCCCCAAGAGGCUCACCCCGCCGGCAGCAUACUAUAGUGUGUCUCUUUGUGUUGGUAUAACUAGUACAAACAAACAAGUUAAAACUUUCAACAACGGAUCUCUUGGUUCUG